GGUAGCCAUCUAUGAUCUAAGUUUGAAACUGAGCAAAGCCAUUUCACUCAGAGGAACAACCUCCAACAUGCUGCUCCCCUUCCUUCUGAGAGUUGUCACAGCCUCCAUCUGCUUUGGAUUCGGCAUGUCCCAGAAGGUAACUCAAUCCCAUGCUGCAAUAUCUAUGCUGGAGGAGAAGGCCGUGACCUUGGACUGUGUAUAUGAAGCUAUUUCUUUCAGUUAUUAUUUAUUCUGGUACAAACAACUGCCAAAUGGGGAAAUAGUUUUGCUUAUUCUUCAGGAGUCUUUUGAUGAGCAGAAUGCAACCAAUGGUCGGUAUUCUCUGAACUUCCAGCAACUGACCAGUUCUAUCAGUCUCACCAUCGCAGCCUUGCAGUUUGGAGACUCAGCAAUGUAUUUUUGUGCUCUGAGGGAAGCCACAGUGAAAUAGGUGCGUGCAGGA